rnacentral:rRNA from 2 species
GAUUGGUGCUUGCAUCAUGAUUUACAUUUGAGUGAGUGGCGAACUGGUGAGUAACACGUGGGAAACCUGCCCAGAAGCGGGGGAUAACACCUGGAAACAGAUGCUAAUACCGCAUAACAACUUGGACCGCAUGGUCCGAGUUUGAAAGAUGGCUUCGGCUAUCACUUUUGGAUGGUCCCGCGGCGUAUUAGCUAGAUGGUGGGGUAACGGCUCACCAUGGCAAUGAUACGUAGCCGACCUGAGAGGGUAAUCGGCCACAUUGGGACUGAGACACGGCCCAACUCCUACGGGAGGCAGCAGUAGGGAAUCUUCCACAAUGGACGAAAGUCUGAUGGAGCAACGCCGCGUGAGUGAAGAAGGGUUUCGGCUCGUAAAACUCUGUUGUUAAAGAAGAACAUAUCUGAGAGUAACUGUUCAGGUAUUGACGGUAUUUAACCAGAAAGCCACGGCUAACUACGUGCCAGCAGCCGCGGUAAUACGUAGGUGGCAAGCGUUGUCCGGAUUUAUUGGGCGUAAAGCGAGCGCAGGCGGUUUUUUAAGUCUGAUGUGAAAGCCUUCGGCUCAACCGAAGAAGUGCAUCGGAAACUGGGAAACUUGAGUGCAGAAGAGGACAGUGGAACUCCAUGUGUAGCGGUGAAAUGCGUAGAUAUAUGGAAGAACACCAGUGGCGAAGGCGGCUGUCUGGUCUGUAACUGACGCUGAGGCUCGAAAGUAUGGGUAGCAAACAGGAUUAGAUACCCUGGUAGUCCAUACCGUAAACGAUGAAUGCUAAGUGUUGGAGGGUUUCCGCCCUUCAGUGCUGCAGCUAACGCAUUAAGCAUUCCGCCUGGGGAGUACGGCCGCAAGGCUGAAACUCAAAGGAAUUGACGGGGGCCCGCACAAGCGGUGGAGCAUGUGGUUUAAUUCGAAGCUACGCGAAGAACCUUACCAGGUCUUGACAUACUAUGCAAAUCUAAGAGAUUAGACGUUCCCUUCGGGGACAUGGAUACAGGUGGUGCAUGGUUGUCGUCAGCUCGUGUCGUGAGAUGUUGGGUUAAGUCCCGCAACGAGCGCAACCCUUAUUAUCAGUUGCCAGCAUUAAGUUGGGCACUCUGGUGAGACUGCCGGUGACAAACCGGAGGAAGGUGGGGAUGACGUCAAAUCAUCAUGCCCCUUAUGACCUGGGCUACACACGUGCUACAAUGGAUGGUACAACGAGUUGCGAACUCGCGAGAGUAAGCUAAUCUCUUAAAGCCAUUCUCAGUUCGGAUUGUAGGCUGCAUCUCGCCUACAUGAAGUC